UACGGGAGGCAGCAGUGGGGAAUUUUGCACAAUGGGGGAAACCCUGAUGCAGCGACGCCGCGUGAUUUAGAAGGCCUUCGGGUUGUAAAAAUCUUUUGUAUGGGAAGAAAAUGACAGUACCAUACGAAUAAGGACCGGCUAAUUACGUGCCAGCAGCCGCGGUAAUACGUAAGGUCCGAGCGUUGUCCGGAAUCAUUGGGCGUAAAGGGUACGUAGGCGGAUAAGCAAGUUAGAAGUGAAAUCCUAUAGCUCAACUAUAGUAAGCUUUUAAAACUGCUCAUCUUGAGGUAUGGAAGGGAAAGUGGAAUUCCUAGUGUAGCGGUGAAAUGCGCAGAUAUUAGGAGGAAUACCGGUGGCGAAGGCGACUUUCUGGCCAUAUACUGACGCUGAGGUACGAAAGCGUGGGUAGCAAACAGGAUUAGAUACCCUGGUAGUCCACGCCGUAAACGAUGAGUGUUAGGUGUCUGGAAUAAUCUGGGUGCCGCAGCUAACGCAUUAAACACUCCGCCUGGAGA
rnacentral:rRNA from 1 species